rnacentral:lncRNA from 1 species
UGCAAUUCCGGCACAGUGGCCAUGUCUUAGCAAACGGUCAGGUUUGUGGGAGUGCGAUACACAGUCGUGUGAUCGCAAUAAACGACAUGGUUCAGACAACCGCAUAUCAUCGGUCAGUUCCAAGCAAAUGUAGCCUGAAGUGUCAUGCAAGGCUUCCAAGUGCAGUCCCUGCCUCAAAACCAGUUCAGUGCCCAGCUGUGGUGAAGCAUGGAAUUGUGCAACCCCCAAGAAGAAAACUGCUUUCACCAUCUAGAGCCACCAAAGCAUGACGAGACAUCUUACAUUACUGUCUGAAAAACUUGACAAAUUUAUUGAUUGCUAUGGCACAUAGCACAAUACCUAUCAGCUGUUGCCAUCUCUAUUGGUCAUGACUAUCGCUGUCCAGAAUUUGUGCAGUUCUGUAGAUCAACCAUAAUGCUUUCUGGAAUGGCACUCCGGUGCAUUGCAUAUAUUCCCAGUGCAUGAAGGGACAAGCAAGAAUUAAACUUUUUGUAGCAAUCAG